UUGAUGAACUGUUUAUAUCAGUACACAACUUUAGAGGUCAAAAACGACAACCACAUGACGAGUAACAAAAACCAUAACCGAGAACCACAAAGAACAUUUCAAUCAAAGUCAUACAAUUAAGGCAUAACAACACAUAAUUCAGAACAAGAUCAUUCAAUUUAAAUAACUAAAAUACUAAAUUAACUAACUCCUCCAGUUUCCACCGUCAGAACCACCACCA
rnacentral:lncRNA from 1 species